CCCUUAGAUGUUCUGAACCGCACGCGUGUUACACUGAUGCAUUCAACGAGCUUUACCUUGGCCGAGAGGCCUGGGAAAUCUUUUUAGCAUGCAUCGUGAUAGGGAUUGAUUAUUGCAAUUAUUAAUCAUGAACGAGGAAUUCCUAGUAAACGCAUUUCAUCAAAAUGCAUUGAUUACGUCCCUGCCCUUUGUACACACCGCCCGUCGCACCUACCGAUUGAGUGGUCCGGUGAAGUCUCGAGAUUGUGGCAAUCUCCUUUAUUGGAGUUCGACUGCGAGAACUUGCCUAAACCUUAUCACUUAGAGGAAGGUGAAGUCGUAACA
rnacentral:rRNA from 1 species